rnacentral:rRNA from 1 species
GCCGCGUGCGGGAUGACGGCCUUCGGGUUGUAAACCGCUUUCAGCAGGGACGAAAGGGCACCUUGACAGUACCUGCGCAACAGGCACCGGCUAACUACCUGCCACCGGCCGCGGAGAUGCGUACGGUGCGAGCGUUGUCCGGAAUUAUUGGGCGUAAAGAGCUUGUUGGCGGUCUGUUGCGUCAAAUCUGAAAACUCAGGGCUUAACCCUGACCCUGCUUUCGAUACGGGCAGACCUGAGGGAUGUAGGGGAGAACGGAAUUCCUGGUGGAGAUGUGGAAUGCGCAGAUAUAACGAGGAACACCAAUGGCGAAAGCAGUUCUCUGGACGUUUCCUGACUCUGAGAACCGAAAGCGUGGGGAGCAAACAAGCUUAGAUACCCUGGUAGUCCACGCCAUAAACGGUGGGCACUAGGUGUGGGUUCCAUUCCAGGGAAUCCGUGCCCAAUCUAACGCAUUACGUGCCCCGCCGGGGGAGUAAUGCCGCAUGGAUAAAACUCACAGGAAUUGACGGGAGCCCGCAAAAACGGCGGAUCAUGCGGAUUAAUUCGAUGCAACUUAAAUAACCUUAACUGGGUUUGACAUAUGCCGGAGACACCUAUA